CCUAGUAUGGCAGAAAAUAGUGCCUUGAUCUUAAACUUCAAAAAUAAAUAAUUUUUACUAGAA
rnacentral:tRNA from 1 species